rnacentral:rRNA from 1 species
UACAGAGGUCCCAAGCGUUACUGAGAAUCACUGGGUUUAAAGGGUGCGUAGGUGGCACGUUAAGUCAGUUGUGAAAUCCCCGGGCUCAACCCGGGAACUGCUUCUGAUACUGGCGUGCUUGAGGCCAGUAGGGGUCACUAGAACUGACGGUGGAGCGGUGAAAUGCGUAGAUAUCGUCAGGAAUGCCGGUGGUGAAGACGGGUGACUGGGGCUGGUUCUGACACUGAGGCACGAAAGCGUGGGGAGCGAACGGGG